AAUCACCAGGAAGUUGAAUAAAUCUCAUAGGAGUUGGCAAGAAGAAGUUAUCCCACUUUCAAAUCAGGUGAUUCCAGUUUCCCAGUUUGGGAAUAGCACAGCUUCUGUUGACUUGAAGAAAGUAAUGGAGCCAAUGGAGGAGUUGGGUUGAGUUUGGGUCUUGAGCAAGAAUAGGGCAAGACCUCCGGAGAUUGUCUAUCAAGGCUUUAGGAGUGUUCAGGAGUGUCCAGAAGUAUCCAAAUGAGGUGUGCAAAGUUAGGGUCAAGUCCAGGAGGGACUUAGACAUACUUAGACACCAUUUGGAGUCAGAUUGGGAGUUGGUACAAAAAUAGGGCGAGGUACGGAUGGGCGGUCCGUACCAUCGACCGUACUUGUUCCGGAUCAACCUGAAAUGAAGCUGUGCAAACUUAGGGCGCAAGAGAAGACAAACCUGAGUUAUCUUGUGACUGUUUGUGGAUAAGGGAGAGCUAGGGUGUGGUCAAUGACAGGCUGUCUUUGAGCUGUAAAGGAAAAGCAGCCUUGACCAUGUAUCUAGCCAUCUUUGUGAAUAAGGUUCAUGGGAGCCUUAAGGGAACCAAUCAGGAGCCAGCCCUUGCUUUGACCAGUUUGAAUCAACCAAUCAGCAUCCAUCACGUCCUCAGCAACCCACCAGACUCCAUCCUAGCCAUCCAUUUCAAUUCAGUCAUUUCUAUCCAUUAGAUUAAGGGUUUAUGAGUUUGCAAUGUGUAAAGCUUAUAAAUAAGCUAUGUAUGGACGUUUUUUUGUGUCUCUCAAGAGAGAGAGGGGGAUUUCCCCUCCUCCUUCAUAAUACAAAGUGUGUUCUUGGAUAAGAAUCCCUUAAUCUCUCCCUUUCUUAUACUUAAAUCUCUUAAUCUCUCUAAAUCUCUUGUUUCUGUCCAAGUUCAUACUCUUUUCAACAGACCUUUCUCUCUUCAGUUCAAGCUCUCAUUUCGCCCUUAGUGGCUUCUUCUCACACACACAGCCUGAGCUCUGAAAACCUAACAUGGUAUCAGAGCCAGGUUCAUCAGAACUUGGUUCCAGCUUCCGCAUAUACAUCACAAGCCUAAUCUCAUCUCAAAUCCAAGCCAUUGAAGAUCUGUCCUUUUGGUUCUCUCUCUUCAAGAAGAAGGUGUAUGAAGCCAAGGAGGUUUAUCAUGGUCGUGCCUCCUCUCUCCAGUCCAUUAAAGGUGUGUCUCAACUCUGGUCCAAGCUGAAACCAUUCAAGAAGAAAGCUUUCCCCUUGUUCCUGAAGUUGGUGACUUGUAGCUGUGAAGAAAGGUGGAGCCUUUUGAGUUGUGGUUUCAAGGAGAAGGUUAUGAACACAAAGAGAGGGUGUUGGGUGACGAUCCAGCUCUCUUACCCAUCAGAUUCGUGACCUAUAACCAAGGAGGCUCAAGGAACCAGCUUAGGUUCCUUGGUUGUAAGCUAAUCCUAAACCUUCUUGAUAUGAGCUUGUGAUUGAAACUGGUUGUGUGUUGUGUUGUGUAGUGUUGCAAUCCGUGGGUUCUUGAUAUGAAAUGCUAUAUUGUAUUGUCUAGUUCAGUCCCAGGAUGCUUUAAGAGUCUUGUUUGAUGUUGAGAAAUAAAAUGCUUACCCGGUUUGGUUAUGAUUGUGCUAGGAUGUUAGAAACUGUCUAAAUCCUAUUAGCUUUCAUUAAACUGAAAUCACUUAAGGUUUUGCAUUGUCUGAUGUUGAUUGAUGAUUAAUAUUGCUUUGCCUCAGUUAUAAGUGAUGUGUGUUAGGAUAAUAGAAAGCAUUGGCUGAUCUUGUUGCAUACAUGAGCUAGAAACCGAUUAAGGUCACAGCAUAUUGUCAUCUUGUUGCUGCCUUAACAUUGAGCACAUAGAUGGAUGUCUAUGAUUGCGGAUUAAGGCAGGGUUGAUUGCCUAAGUAGCUUGUCUUGAAUCUGAUUUGAUCUUGCUUGUACUUAGAGAGAUUGCUUGCAAAGAUGUGAACUUGAUAAUGCUUGUUUCAAUCUGUUGCAUAGCUUGUGACAUUGGAGAUCAAACUUGAUGAUUAGUCAAGGAUUGAUCCCAAUGCUUGUGUCUUAUCUUUGCUGGAGUUUGAGUGAUGUUUCAGGUUCACAAGAUGUGCUCUCUAUCCAUCACCAAUCCGAGCAGAAGAGGAAGACUUUACCCAUUGGGAAUGGUCGCUGUGGUGUGUGUGUGGAUACACAAGGCGAGUGGUCAUCACCUAAGUCUAGAGGAGACCGGUGACCAGAAGGCAUUGGAGAUAAAGGGAAGGGUUGAUCAGUGGUUGAAGCGCACUCUAUGAGAUUUUGCGCUCCUGAUCUUAAGGCUCAUUGAGGCUCACUCUAAGCUUGGACCCAUACUCAAUCCAAGCUUGAGGAGGGGAGCAAAGUGAGCCACCUGAUGAUCCUGUUGCUCAAUGACCUGUGUUAGUCAAGGCCAUUGCAAGCUGAUCAUGGAGUGAUCCAGCCGAAGUGGAGGGAAGAAGAAAGUCACUCAACAAGCUAGUGUGAGAUGCUUGGAGAGUGGGCUGAGGUAUCUCCUCAGUGCAAUGGUGAUGUAGUGGAGGAUUCAAGCAUCAAGUCUGAAAGAGAUGGAGUUGCUCUCCACAAGGCUUAUCAUGGAGCUAACAUGCGCUCACUAUCAAGCUUGGACCUUUCCUAUACUCGGUCUCAAGCUUGAGGGGGACUGUGGAUGAGCUUGCAUGAUAAGAGAAGGAGCUGUUAAGCUCAGCAAGUGAGGGAUUCAAGUGGUGUGUGAAGAGCAGCCACUCCUCAACAUUUAAACAAGGGAGUACCUUACUUGGAGACUCAAUGGAGAGGAUCAGGUCGUUCCUAGCCUUUCAAGAUGGCAUGAAGUCAGGUGAAAGGGGGAGACACUAAGCCGGUUCUAUAGAAGAGUCUAAGAAGGUGUGGUGAAGUGAAGAGGCCGUGAUCCAGAGCCUAUGUGCCUAAACCUCAGUGAUACUAAGGUACAUAGGCUCACUGGCCAAUCCCUAGGCCUUAAAGGCUCUACUAUUUUUCCCUCAUCAAGGUUUUGUCCCAAAGGGUUUUCCUUGGUGAGGUUUUUAAUGAGGGAGUUCUUCAAGGUUCCAAGCUUGGCUUAGGAUCACCUAGAGUCAAGCUUGAGGGGGAGUGUUGACUUGAAGAAAGAAAUGGAGCCAAUGGAGGAUUUGGGUUGAGUUUGGGUCUUGAGCAAGAAUAGGGCAAGACCUCCGGAGAUUGUCUAUCAAGGCUUUAGGAGUGUUCAGGAGUGUCCAGAAGUAUCCAAAUGAGGUGUGCAAAGUUAGGGUCAAGUCCAGGAGGGACUUAGACAUACUUAGACACCAUUUGGAGUCAGAUUGGGAGUUGGUACAAAAAUAGGGCGAGGUACGGAUGGGCGGUCCGUACCAUCGACCGUACUUGUUCCGGAUCAACCUGAAAUGAAGCUGUGCAAUUAGGGCGCAAGAGAAGACAAACCUGAGUUAUCUUGUGACUGUUUGUGGAUAAGGGAGAGCUAGGGCGUGGUCAAUGACAGGCUGUCUUUGAGCUGUAAAGGAAAAGCAGCCUUGACCAUGUAUCUAGCCAUCUUUGUGAAUAAGGUUCAUGGGAGCCUUAAGGGAACCAAUCAGGAGCCAGCCCUUGCUUUGACCAGUUUGAAUCAACCAAUCAGCAUCCAUCACGUCCUCAGCAACCCACCAGACUCCAUCCUAGCCAUCCAUUUCAAUUCAGUCAUUUCUAUCCAUUAGAUUAAGGGUUUAUGAGUUUGCAAUGUGUAAAGCUUAUAAAUAAGCUAUGUAUGGACGUUUUU